ACACACACACACACACACACACACACAACACACAUUUUAAAUUAGCAGCUUUGGGAUUAAGAAUGAAUAGAGAAUCUAUGCUGAUGGACAGGAGAUGGAAUCCUGAGGAAGCUGCGAAUGUUCCUAGUCUAAGCUGCACCAUGCACUUAGAGGACAUUUUUGAUGAUUGGGACCUGUGGCUUCUUGUCCAGAUGUAAUUUCUACACAAUAAUUAACCAAAAGUUAAGGAAAGGAACUAUGUGGGAUAAAGAGGCAUCAAUAUCACUGUCUGAGGUGGUCAUCUGCUUACAUCAUUGGAUUUAAUCCGUAUCCUGUG